rnacentral:rRNA from 1 species
UUAGGCACCGGGAUAACUCCCGGCCCAGCAGCCGCGGUAAUACGGAGGGUCCGAGCGUUAAUUGAAAUUACUGGGCGUAAAGCGUGCGCAGGCGGUUUGUUAAGCGAGAUGUGAAAGCCCUGGGCUCAACCUAGGAAUAGCAUUUCGAACUGGCGAACUAGAGUCUUGUAGAGGGGGGUAGAAUUCCAGGUGUAGCGGUGAAAUGCGUAGAGAUCUGGAGGAAUACCGGUGGCGAAGGCGGCCUCCUGGACAAAGACUGACGCUCAUGCACGAAAGCGUGUGGAGCAAACAGGAUUAGAUACCCUGGUAGUCCACGCCGUAAACGAUGUCUACUCGGAGUUUGGUGUCUUGAACACUGGGCUCUCAAGCUAACGCAUUAAGUAGACCGCCUGGGGAGUACGGCCGCAAGGUUAAAACUCAAAUGAAUUGACGGGGGCCCGCACAAGCGGUGGAGCAUGUGGUUUAAUUCGAUGCAACGCGAAGAACCUUACCUACUCUUGACAUCCACAGAAUUCGCUAGAGAUAGCUUAGUGCCUUCGGGAACUGUGAGACAGGUGCUGCAUGGCUGUCGUCAGCUCGUGUUGUGAAAUGUUGGGUUAAGUCCCGCAACGAGCGCAACCCCUAUCCUUAUUUGCCAGCACGUAAUGGUGGGAACUCUAGGGAGACUGCCGGUGAUAAACCGGAGGAAGGUGGGGACGACGUCAAGUCAUCAUGGCCCUUACGAGUAGGGCUACACACGUGCUACAAUGGCGAGUACAGAGGGUUGCAAAGCCGCGAGGUGGAGCUAAUCUCACAAAGCUCGUCGUAGUCCGGAUUGGAGUCUGCAACUCGACUCCAUGAAGUCGGAAUCGCUAGUAAUCGUGGAUCAGAAUGCCACGGUGAAUACGUUCCCGGGCCUUGUACACACCGCCCGUCACACCAUGGGAGUGGGCUGCAAAAGAAGUGGGUAGCUUAACCUUCGGGGGGGCGCUCACCACUUGUGUCAGCC